rnacentral:sRNA from 1 species
AAAGGUUGGAAAUAUGCCUAGGGUGUCGAUCCAGUAUGCGAGUUCCCCUUUGUUUACUCU